rnacentral:rRNA from 1 species
AGGAUUAGCUAGUUGGUGGGGUAAUGGCUCACCAAGGCGACGAUCCUUAUCCGACCUGAGAGGGUGAUCGGACGCACUGGGACUGAGACACGGCCCAGACUCCUACGGGAGGCAGCAGUAGGGAAUAUUGCACAAUGGGGGAAACCCUGAUGCAGCAACGCCGCGUGUAGGAAGAAGGUUUUCGGAUCGUAAACUACUUUAGUUGGGGAAGAAUAAUGACGGUACCCAAAGAAUAAGCCCCGGCUAACUACGUGCCAGCAGCCGCGGUAAUACGUAGGGGGCAAGCGUUAUCCGGAAUUACUGGGUUUAAAGGGUGAGUAGGCGGUCUGAUAAGUCAUAAGUGAAAGCCUGGGGCUUAACUCCAGCGAGCUUAAGAAACUGUCGGACUAGAGUUCUGGAGAGGUAAGUGGAAUUCCUAGUGUAGCGGUGAAAUGCGUAGAUAUUAGGAGGAACACCAGUGGCGAAGGCGACUUACUGGACAGAUACUGACGCUGAGUCACGAAAGCGUGG